rnacentral:rRNA from 1 species
GAUGAACGCUAGCGGGAGGCCUAACACAUGCAAGCCGAGCGGUAGAGAUUCUUCGGAAUCUUGAGAGCGGCGUACGGUGCGGAACACGUGUGCAACCUACCUUUAUCUGGAGGAUAGCCUUUCGAAAGGAAGAUUAAUACUCCAUAAUAUAUUGAUUGGCAUCGAUUGAUAUUGAAAGCUCCGGCGGAUAGAGAUGGGCACGCGCAAGAUUAGCUAGUUGGUGAGGUAACGGCUCACCAAGGCGAUGAUCUUUAGGGGCCUGAGAGGGUGAUCCCCACACUGGUACUGAGACACGGACCAGACUCCUACGGGAGGCAGCAGUGAGGAAUAUUGGGUCAAAUGGGUGCGAGCCUGAACCAGCCAUCCCGCGUGAAGGACGACUGCCCUAUGGGUUGUAAACUUCUUUGUAUAGGGAUAAACCUACCCUCGUGAGGGUAGCUGAAGGUACUAUACGAAUAAGCACCGGCUAAACUCCGUGCCAGCAGCCGCGGUAA